UAAAAAAAUGUUGAAAGAUAAUAAGAAAGAUAAAUUCAGAUUUGUGAAUCCACACAAUAUCCCACAUAUGGCAAACACUACACACGACAAAAAAGGUAAGUUUGAAAGGCUGAACCAAAGGGCAAGUCAUUUAGCAUGCAGGCUGAGUGGUGCAUUAGUAGAUCAACUAGUAUUGGUGCCAUGUAAUAUUGGGUAAGUAAAAAUUAAAACAUCACUUUCAAUUGCUACCUUUCGAUAAUUUAUUGAAUUGUAUGCACUAAUUAUGUGUUUGUGCAUAGUUUCCAUUGGAUUCUCAUCGUCAUUGACCCUUACAAUGAAGUUAUUUAUUUGUUGGAUUCCCUAAGCAACCACAUUCGUGAUGAGGAUUGGAAAUAUGUGGUGGAAAUGGCCUUAAGAUUAUUUAAUUCAAACAAAGGAAGGAAAGGUAGAAAAAAGGCUAUGUGGGAAGUAGUAAAGAUGCUAAACAAUGUGGUUAUUAUGUGAUGAGAUUUAUGAGACAAAUUAUUGAAGAAGUUGAAAUUAUCGAGAGAGAUUCACUACGAUCAAUUCACACAAGCAGAGUACUCUCGGGAAGCAAUUGAUGAGGUGCGUUCAGAGUUGCAGAAUAUAUACAAGAUCAUAUAUAUUUAUGAGUAGAUAUCUGUGGAAUACUACUGCUCGCAUGCUUGUUCAAAUUGGGACUGCAGAUUCUUUUUAGGACAACUGUUCAAUUUGUUCGGAGCUCACAAAGAUCCUAGACAAACUGUUGACAAAUUGUUGUCCUAGUCUGAAGCUGACAAUCAUUUUUGAGUGUAGCUAGUAGAAGUAAACAAAUUGUUGGCUUUGAGGUUAAUUAACUAUUUUGUGCUCUUUUGUUUUAAAUUUGAAUGUCACUAUCUACUUUGAAAUAGCUAGGUUUUAAUUUGAU